CCAAGAGCAUGAUAGAUGGAGGAUUGGUACAGUGCUUGUCUGGUGUCCUUCAAGCAAUUGACUUGGAUCACCCUGAUGCGCCGAAAGUUGUGAAUCUGAUUCUUAAAACACUGGAAAGCCUAACAAGGGCUGCCAAUGCUAGUGAGCAACUUUUUAAAACUGAUUCUAUGAACAAGACCACCCUGAUGCUCCGAAAGUUGUGAAUCUGAUUCUUAAAACACUGGAAAGCCUAACAAGGGCUGCCAAUGCCAGUGAGCAACUUUUUAAAACUGAUUCUGUGAACAAGAAAAAAUUAAAUGCCCUUAAUGGUGGGUCGGAUAAUCAAGUGGAUACA
rnacentral:lncRNA from 1 species